rnacentral:ncRNA from 1 species
GGCAUUUGAGGUGGUCAACUUCGUGGCAAUCACAUGCCGAUGGUACUGACAGGCGAAAGCCGAGAGAUGCGGGAGAAUGGGACGCCCGCCAAAUGCC